UACGAAGGGGGGCUAGCGUUGUUCGGAAUUACUGGGCGUAAAGCGCGCGCAGGCGGUUCUUCAAGUCAGAGGUGAAAGCCCAGAGCUCAACUCUGGAAUGGCCUUUGAGACUAGAGAACUAGGGUACGGGAGAGGUGAGUGGAAUUCCGAGUGUAGAGGUGAAAUUCGUAGAUAUUCGGAAGAACACCAGUGGCGAAGGCGGCUCACUGGCCCGUUACCGACGCUCAGGCGCGACAGCGUGGGGGAGCAAACAGG
rnacentral:rRNA from 1 species